rnacentral:rRNA from 1 species
UCCUACGGGACGCAGCAGUGGGGAAUAUUGCGCAAUGGGGGAAACCCUGACGCAGCAACGCCGCGUGCGGGAUGAAGGCCUUCGGUAUGUAAAGCUCUAUCCGCAGGGAAGAAAAUGACGGUACCUGACUAAGAAGCCCCGGCUAACUACGUGCCAGCAGCCGCGGUAAUACGUAGGGGGCAAGCGUUAUCCGGAUUUACUGGGUGUAAAGGGAGCGUAGACGGCUGUGCAAGUCUGGAGUGAAAGGCAUGGGCUCAACCUGUGGACUGCUUUGGAAACUGUGCGGCUUGAGUGUCGGAGAGGCA